UGUUUUACGGUAAAUGGAAUUCCGGUAAAUUGUAUACAACCGAUCUUUCAGUUUAGGAUUCCUUGUUUUCUUUUACGUUCGAUUUGUUGAUUUAAAGCUGAAAAUAUACCGCCUUAUUUCUAGAUAGCAGCCGCUGCCGAUAGAGACAAAAAAACAAACCGACGUGAUUCAGUGCCGUUCCGGAAAUUCGAUGCUGGCGGUUCUUUUGGUGGCUAGUUCACGACAAAAUGGUAGCCAAAUCGAUAGUGGAUGCGUACAGGUUGCUGCUGCCGACAGGGGUCCGGAUUUUUAGUGCAACAGUCCGAAAAUCAAAAGGGACUACAGCUGGAAUUCAAUGCGGUGAAUCCGGCACGACCCCGGUGCCGAUCGCUUGCCAUUUCGCGUUCUCAGGAUCGGAACUAAAUAGUUCCAUUUUACGAAAAGUGUUAUGAAGUGUCGAAAUAAAGAGAAACAUAAAUUGAAAGUUAAAAUUUUUGUAUUCUAUUAAAUAAUCGAACAUUCCCUCUGAAAAUUGCAAAGAAAAACAAUAAAUAUUGAAUUUCAGGUCCGGGGCGAUCUUUUCCUCCGGUUUUUUGCUAGAAAAGUGAGCAAAAAUUGCGGCGGCUAAACUUUUCUCUCGUUUGCUAAAAUUUUAGUUCGAAAAAAUUGCUAAAUUGAUUGCUAAGAUUUUAGCUGGUCAAAUUUGAGCAAAAUUUUGCUA